AGUUUAUAGUUCUUGAGAGUAUGGUACACUGGAAAAAAAUGACAAUGGGGGAUUGUUGAAUUUGCAAAAAUGCAUUUAGUAUUUCCAACAUGAUUAAUUUAUGUUUCUCAUCUAAACAUAUUUUAGUCUUGUGUCAUUCAAUUAAUGUUGUUAGGAUGUUGAUUAGGAUGUUCAACUUUUUAGAAUUAAUCAUGUUGAAAUGUAAUAAUUUAGUUAUGUUUUCUCUGGAAAGUCCGCCCCCUUGGAACGCGCAAGGAAAACUAAUUAACUGCUCUCCAGUCCGCCAUUUUCUCUCUCGCUGUGGAGGUGGAAGCUGAUGCAUUGCGGUGGAUUUCAACAGUGUGAAAAGAUACCUGAUACUCAUCUAUUCACGUGAACUUUGAUAGGCAAAGGCUCUAUAGUAGUGAGAAUGUAGCAGUGGAAAGGGUGCUGAGUAGCAGUUUCCAGUAGAUUGGCACUACUAAACCAUUAUUAAGUCAAGCAUCCUCAUUUUGUUUUUCUUAAUUCAUUCAUUGAAUUUAAGCUUUUUUUAACUUCACACAGAGAAAGCUUAUUUUUUGUAGCCCAUACUCUGUGAAAAAUAUUUUUUUUUGUUAAAAAUAACAGUGAUUUGUCUUGCCUUACUGCUUUUAAAACUGAAAAAAAAAAAAACAUCAAGGGAAGCUUUGGACUACUUGUUACUCAUUACAGUUCAUCUUUUUCACUACACCUGUUUGAUGGUGAAUUGUUGCAUUUUACUGUAUCUGAUCUGGUCUAUUGACAGGAAAUGCCGUAGUUCAUAGUCAUCCAUUCAUCCUAUACUAAAAAAAAUUAAUUGUACUGUUAAAAUUAUAGUGAUU